rnacentral:tRNA from 1 species
GGACUCGCAUAGCUCAAUCGGCAGAGCGUGGGGCUCAUAAUCCCAGGGUUCUUGGUUCGAGUCCAAGGGCGAGUUCA